GUAGUCCAUGCCCUAAACGAUGUCAACUAGUUGUCGGGAGAGCAAUCUCUUGGUAACGCAGCUAACGCGUGAAGUUGACCGCCUGGGGAGUACGGUCGCAAGAUUAAAACUCAAAGGAAUUGACGGGGACCCGCACAAGCGGUGGAUUAUGUGGAUUAAUUCGAUGCAACGCGAAAAACCUUACCUACCCUUGACAUGUCAGGAAGGACCCAGAGAUGGGUUUGUGCCCGCAAGGGAACCUGAACACAGGUGCUGCAUGGCUGUCGUCAGCUCGUGUCGUGAGAUGUUGGGUUAAGUCCCGCAACGAGCGCAACCCUUGUCAUUAGUUGCUACGAAAGGGCACUCUAAUGAGACUGCCGGUGACAAACCGGA
rnacentral:rRNA from 1 species